rnacentral:tRNA from 1 species
AAGCUGUUAGGUUCAUACCCUAUUUAUAGAAGUAAAAUCUUCUUCUUUUUA